rnacentral:rRNA from 1 species
GUGAACGCUGGCGGCAUGCCUUACACAUGCAAGUCGAACGGCAGCACGGGUGCCUUGCACCUGGUGGCGAGUGGCGAGACGGGUGAGUAAUGCAUCGGAACGUACCCAGGAGUGGGGGAUAACGUAGCGAAAGUUACGCUAAUACCGCAUAUUCUGUGAGCAGGAAAGCGGGGGAUCGCAAGACCUCGCGCUCUUGGAGCGGCCGAUGUCGGAAUUAGCUAGUUGGUGAGGUAAAGGCCUCACCAAGGCGACGAUCCGUAGCAGGUCUUGAGAGGAUGAUCUGCCACACUGGGACUGAGACACGGCCCAGACUCCUACGGGAGGGCAGCAGUGGGGAAUUUUGGGCAAUGGGGGCAACCCUGAUCCAGCCAUGCCGCGUGAGUGAAGAAGGCCUUCGGGUUGUAAAGCUCUUUCGGCGGGAAGAAAACGUACUGGUUAAUACCCGUGCGGAUGACGGUACCCGCAUAAGAAGACACCGGCUAACUACGUGCCAGCAGCCGCGGUAAAUACGUAGGGUGCGAGCGUUAAUCGAAUUACUGGGCGUAAAGCGUGCGCAGGCGGUUUCGUAAGACAGACGUGAAAUCCCCGGGCUCAACCUGGGAACUGCGUUUGUGACUGCGCGAGCUAGAGUGUAGCAGAGGGGGGGUGGAAUUCCACGUGUAGCAGUGAAAUGCGUAGAGAUGUGGAGAGAAACACCAAUGGCGAAGGCAGCCCCCUGGGCUAACACUGACCGCUCAUGCACGAAAGCGUGGGGAGCAAACAGGAUUAGAUACCCCUGGUAGCCCACGCCCUAAACGAUGUCAACUAGGUGUUGGGAGGGUUAAUACCUUUUUAGUACCGAUGCAGCUAACGCGUGAAGUUGACCGCCUGGGGGAGCUACGGCCCGCAAGGUUAAAACUCAAAGGAAUUGACGGGGACCCGCACAAGCGGUGGAAUGAUGUGGAUUAAUUCGAUGCAACGCGAAAAAACCUUACCUACCCUGACAAUGUCAGGAAUCCCGGCUGAGAGGUUGGAGUGCCCGAAAGGGAGCCUGAACACAGGUGCUGCAUGGCUGUCGUCAGCUCGUGUCGUGAGAUAGUUGGGUUAAGUCCCGCAACGAGCGCAAUACCCUUGUCGUUAAUUGCCCAUCAUUUAGUUGGGCACCUUUAUGAAACUGCCGGUGACAAACCGGAGGAAGGUGGGGAGUGACGUCACAGUCCUCACUGGCCCAUUACUGGGUAGGGCUUCACAGCGUCAUACAAUGGUCGGUACGGAGGGAGUGCCCAACCCCGCGAGGGGGAGCUAAUCUCAGAAAGCCGAUCGUAGUCCGGAUCGCAGUCUGCAACUCGACUGCGUGAAGUCGGAAUCGCUAGUAAUCGCGGAUCAGCAUGUCGCGGUGGAAUACGUUCCCGGGUCUUGUACACACCGCCCGUCACACACAUGGGAGUGGGUUCUACCAGAAAGUAGUUAGCUCUGACCGUAAGGAGGGCGAUUACCACGGUAGGGAUUCAUGACUGGGGUG